ACUUCCUGGGUCUUCUACCUUUGGAGGAAGUGUCCUCUGUAAAAUCACGCUGCAAUCCCCUUGUUUCCCAGUUGUGUCCUCUUUUAAAUUUUUCUUUUUGAGGAGUUUCUUCAAAAAUUCUUUAUAUUCAGGGAUCUGGUGCGGGCCUUUGUCACAGGGAUUUCUAUCCCUAAUUCUUUGGAGAUCUCUUCAAAACAUCCUGCUUGUAUUUCUUUUGUGGCAUGUUCCUCAGGGUGGUGGACAUUUUUCUCAUAUUUUUUAUUUUUUUCUUUUUCUUCUUUUUUUCUCUCAAGCUCUUCUUUUUUUCUCAAUCUCUCUUUUUUCAUCACUCUCAAAAUUUUUCUUUUUCUUCUUCUCUCUCUAAAUCACUCAAUCUUUCUUCUUCUCUUUUUCCUUUCUCACUCUCUUUUUCUUCUCCAUCUUUUUUUCACUCAUUUUCCAUGCUUGCUAUAGCC
rnacentral:lncRNA from 1 species